GAUGAACGCUGGCGGCGUGCCUAAUACAUGCAAGUCGAGCGAACGGACGAGAAGCUUGCUUCUCUGAUGUUAGCGGCGGACGGGUGAGUAACACGUGGAUAACCUACCUAUAAGACUGGGAUAACUUCGGGAAACCGGAGCUAAUACCGGAUAAUAUUUUGAACCGCAUGGUUCAAAAGUGAAAGACGGUCUUGCUGUCACUUAUAGAUGGAUCCGCGCUGCAUUAGCUAGUUGGUAAGGUAACGGCUUACGAAGGCAACUAUGCAUAGCCGACGGGAGAGGGGGAUCGCCCACACGGGAACGGGGCCGCGGUCCUUACGACUGCGGUACGCAGCAGACGGGAACCGUCGGCAGUGGGCGGAAGCCUUACGGAGCAGGGCGACGUGUGAGGCGAAGGUGUCCGGUGCGUGAUGCUCUGUUUUUAGGUAUGAACAUCUGUGUAAGUUACUGUGGAGAGCGUGACGGUACCUAGUCAGGAAGCCACGGCUAACUACGUG
rnacentral:rRNA from 1 species